rnacentral:rRNA from 1 species
GCGCGCAAAUUACCCAAUCCUGACACGGGGAGGUAGUGACAAUAAAUAACAAUACCGGGCGCGUUAGUGUCUGGUAAUUGGAAUGAGUACAAUCUAAAUCCCUUAACGAGGAUCCAUUGGGGGGCAAGUCUGGUGCCGG